UUUAAAACAUUAAUUAAAAAUGAUUUAAAAACUAGGUGAAAUAAAUUUUAAUUGAAUAUAUCCCAACUUACUACAGUAUAUAAUCAAAGUAAAAACUGAUUUUUUUAAAGGCAAGUGUAUAAAAGCCUUUGAGGUACACUGCUUAUGAUAGGGCACAUUUCAACUUGGACAGUCCCCAUCUUUGGUAUUCGGUGGCCAAAUGACUCAUGAUUGCCAUGGGAGUCAACAAGAGUCUGACAAUGAAUGUGCCCACCCUGGUGGCCUCUGUAGCCCUUUUCCUUGCAGUUCUGUGGAUGAGGGGUUUCCAAACAAAGUUGUCUAGGUCACAGUGAUACACUGCUUUCACUGGCUCUGUCUUGUUACGUCAUCUGUCUGUGGGCUGCAGGACAUAAACUCCUAGCCCAGAGUCAUCACUUGCUCUAGGCCCUCAUUGUCUGUGGUGUGGUGAGGAGCCCAGGUGAAUCGGUCCUUACUCUCCACCAUGUGCACUAUCCUGGCCACUAAGCCAAGGGGAGCACACUUACAUCUCCUCAACUAAAGGAUCACUUCUACCUACCUUUCAAUUCCUGUAAUUCACUUGAAUGUCAAAGAAUUGGGCUCUGGUUAGUGGGAGUUCAUUUCUGCAAUGUCAACCUGGCCAUGGGGUGGAGGCCAGGACCUGGGGCCCUCCACCACAGACAGGAAGGUGAACCAAGAACUAGAUGGACCUGGCCUCCAGUCCCCUGGCCCCGUGGUCACAGGCUCCUGAAUAUACUGGCCUGCUGGGUCCCUGGGCUGGCAGGGACACAGCAUGUCCAGGUGCUUCACAUUCCUACAAGUAUGUGUGAAGCUAGCACAGGCCACCAGAAACUGAAAAAUGUGUGGAACAGGGAAGGGCCUCAGCACAGGGUCAGACUGGAUCAGUACCCAAAUCAAGACCACCCAGCUUUGUUACUAGUCCUUUGAAUAGUGACCUCAACACUUGUUUACUUCUUAGAGAUGUGUCUUUGCAUAAUGAACAGUGGAGGCAUGGGAUGUGGGGAUCUCAUUCAAGAGAAAAGGUGAGGCUAGGUAUGGUGGUGCAGGCCUAUAAUCCUAGCACUUGGGAGGUAGAGGCAGGAGGAUCAAGAGUUCAAGGUCACCUUCAGCCACAUAGGAAAUUUCAGGCCAGCCAGGGCUUCAAGAAACCUUGUAUGAACCCUGCUCCCCUACAGAAAGAGAAUGACAAAUAUACCUACCCCUUUUGGGGUGGAAGAGGUUGAGUUCCACUUAGCUACACCCCAGCCUGUCACUAUUAGAAUGUAGAGCGUGGGAGGUGGAAGGGGAAGUGGCCGCAGCCCACUAAGGGGUGUGAAGCAGUGUCAAAGCACAAGAGCCACUCUGACACUAAAGCAUGGUGGUCCUGCAGCCCUCCUCUGGGCGGGCGGGCUGUUUCACGUCAUCAUCCUGACGUGAAAGCAUUCCUCUGCUUGGGGACAGAUGAGUUAAGAUCAGAGAGAGCACACAGGAAGAACUUCUGUGUGCACCAGAGCAAGCACAGUACCUACAUAUAGGCUUCAUAAAAAUCAAGCAAAAGGUCUCUCCAGCAGAGAAUCUCAACAACAUCCCCCUAGUCCAGGGAUAAAGACAACUCUUGAACCUAGGCUCUUCUGUUCUCACCAAAGUUGCCAACACUGCUGGGCAUUCCAUUUCAAAAUUACACAACAAAAUAUUCCAGGUCUUGGUCUGGGUUAGAUUAUAAUUCACAACAAAUACAAUGCUAAUAGAAUUAAGCUUUAUUCCACCAGGAUAUACAAUCAAAUCAAUACUGUGCUUUAGAAACCAGUACAAACAAAGGACAAGCCCCUUUUGCCUGUCCUGGUGGAGGCUGCUGAGAUGGAUUAUAACUGGUCUGAUGCUGUACUAUGUAAGGGAAAGCAAAGACACGUCCAGGAAUUCUGUUGGGCCCACACUGGCCUCCAGCUCUGGGUCAUGGGAGGGCUGCCUUUUCCCUCCCUUUCCCUGACUCCAGCAACCUCUGCCCAUAAACAUCUGACAGUGUCUCAAGUAGACACUGUAGGAUAAGGUAUGGAAGUUGGGGCCGAAUGCCAAUUCACCUCUCCACCCACCUGGCUGUUCAGUCCCUCAGUUCCAAACAAAAUAACACACAGAGCAGCCAGGCAGACUGAGCUGCCCCUGAAGAGCUGUAGGAAGGUGACCACAGAAUGCGGGUGGCUGUUGCUCUCUACACCAGACACCACAGCAGUAACUUCUCUCAGGUGGAGGUCAGGGCCUAAGUAAUUCAUCGAUGCCUCUUUAGAUGGGGCACAAGCAAUGAGUACCACACCAAGUGCCGAUACCUGUGCAUGCUCUUAGCCCUGGGUGUGUUCCCCUUAUCUGAGCUUAAGAAUCCCUUGUUUGCUGGGUGGUAGUGGCGCACGCCCUUUAAUCCCAGCACUCAGGAGGCAGAGGCAGGCGGAUCUCUAUGAGUUCAAGGCCAGCCUGGUCUCCAAAGCGAGUUCCAGGAAAGGCACCAAAACUACAGAGAGAAACCUUGUCUCAAAAAACAAAAACAAAAACAAAAAAAAAAAAGAAGAAUCCCUUCUUCUGUGACACAUACUCUACAUAAAAGAUCAGAGAAAACCUGGAAAGAGCACAGUUCUGUGUAAGGUUCAUGAAAGAGGCCAGAGUAUCCAGACUCAGUGUGAUGGGUUUAAGAGGCUCACAGGUCUGUGGCCAUUUGCUUCAGACUUACUGGACCCUGGUUCUGCUGGGCUGUGGGCCUUGUCCACUGGCUAGCCUUGCCCUCCCCACUGACAGGCCACACUGAAGGUGGCACAAAGGCGCCAUACAACCGGUCUCUGAUGAGAAAAGGGAAAAUCCAGGACAGAGAGAAAAGGAAAAGUGUAAGCAGCCAACAGCGUCUCGGAGGUUGUGGUUAAAGAAACCACUUGUCUGCUAAGGCCCUCAUUCCGUGACCCACUGGGCCCUGAAAUCUGCCACAGAGGAAGAGAGGGUCUAAAUCCUCCCUGGUUCAUCCACUCCAGGAGCUGCCCAGAGCCCACCCAAGAGCAUAAGCUGGUGUCAGAGGCACAGCCCCAAGACAGAGGAGCUGCUCCAGAGCCACUAACACAACAUGGCACACACAACCUCAGGUAGCCCCAAACCAAGGGAAAACGAAACAACUCUUUUUCUCCAAGUACACAGUAGUUAGGGUUUUUCAUAUGGUAUGGUUUUCUUUAAACAAAAUGGAAAAUGCUGUUGGCCUCUUUUAAGGCUUUGAAGCUAUUUAGAGCUGCUUGUGUGUGUGUGUGGGGGGGGUCACUCUGCGCUACAGGUUGAACAUCUCUCCUGCUUGGCAGCACACAGCCAACCUGACCUGCAUCCAGAGUCAGGCAGUAAGGAACAGCCUGGAACUGUCUGAGGCAGAGAGAAAGAGAGCACAGGACCACCAGCCUGGAAGACAGGCCGCUAAGCAAGAGCCCGGGGUCUCAUGAAACAAGAGCUUACAGAUGUGAAAAUGACUAUUGAAAUUGUCUACAUUUACAACGCAUUCACACGUUUAUUCAAUGUCAAUAUACAGAGGACAGCCUCCAGUACUUCAGAAUGUCAAGGAUGUGGUAAGUCUCUUGCUGUGACGGUGGCAAGGGAACAGAAACAUGGUUCUUAGACUGAAGAAGUAACAAUACUGAUAUUCAAGCUUCGUUAGUUAUUGCAACAGUAGGAGCUCAGCUCCCUGUAUUUCACAGCAGGAGGGCUCCUCAUGAAAUUUAUUCAAGUUGUGAAGAGAUCAGAUGAAAAUGUAAGAAAGGAAAUACACAUUUACCUUGACUCUCACCGAAGAUAAAUACCCAUACACCUUUUCACAUGUCACCUGAUAACAACUUUAAAACCCAAGUACACACAAGUUACAAGGCAGGAUUUUCACACUUUGAACUCAGGAAUUGAGUCAGGAAUUGAACCAUGACACAAAGAUAAUGUAACAAUUGCAGCACGGAUGAAAAACUCGGCAUCCACAGGACAGUUGCUCCAUCAGAAGAGCGUGUUCUUACAGUUGAGCUUGGGAAUACAAGUGCUUUUCCCCAGCGAGCCACAGGCUUCACUAAUGCCACACUGAUGUCCCCUCUCCCUGGGACACCACAGAGCACUUUGAUGAGCACCGUGUUAACCUAAGCCAGCUUGUGGUGGUCCAGCCAGCCCAAGGCAAACAGCACACUCUGGACAGAAACAGGCCUGCUGGGUGUGGUGGCUCCUCCAGACAUUCCCGAUCGUGGGUAGUUCAGCCUUAGAGACCAAACUCCAACCAGAGGCCUUCAAGUCAAUAUCAGGCCUACCCAGAGAAGUGCAUGGAGGCUCUAUGGGUGAGGGAAGAGACCUCGCCAGUGGACACACGUGCCUCAGUGGUACAGCUGGCCCUGAGCCAAGAGGCAUAAGGGACCAUGGACCCCUUCGGCCAUGACUGCCCACAGCAUAGCCUGCAUUCCAAGAUCAGUCACUGGAAAAGCUACCACUAAACUGUCCCUAGUUUUUCCUCAAGUGGUCAGACGGACUGGAGUGGCACUGGGGUUUCCACAGGACCCUUUUCUGGCCCUACAUGUCCUGUGUCUUGUUCCUCCUCACACUUUGAGCUUGCUCAACAAAUAAAGAAAACAUCUCCCUCCAGUGAGAGGUGAGAGGACCUUGCACACAUGAACACACAUGUGCUAAGGCAGGCUCACUAAUUUUAGCACAAAUUCAGUAUGUGAAAAUUUAUUAAAACUUCAGAAUGUAUCACAGGAUGAGGAGGGAUGGGAGAAAUGGCUGUCGGACAAUCACGCCUUGGGUGUUUUAAGACAAAUACUAGAGGGGACACUGGCCACCUGGGGGUAGGAUGUGUGUACACAGCCACAGAAACUGAAGUUUUAUAGCCCUUGUCACACCUCAUUUCAGAGUGUCUUUCAGACACUGUGGCUUCUUUCUUGCUCCACCUCUGGGCUUUCCUAAAAGCACUCACUCUUCAGCCUGACCUAAGUGGCUCUCAAAACACUUGUAAACUCAGUCAGCAUGACCAACAAACUGAAAGCUCUUUACCCUAUGUAGGUCAAUUUGGAGUCCACAGUUACUGGCUGCAGGCAUCACCCAAUCUCUCUGGGACAUUUGCUCUGAAAAGAAGGCACAACUUCUAAGCCUCUCAGGAGGGCGGGGUGUGGUUCAGAAGUGCAGCGCCUGCCUGGCAGCUGUUGAGUCCUCUGGCUCGAUCCCUGGGACCCCAUGCACACAGAGAGAAAAGUGGGAACGGACUGGGGGCUGAUUCACCAGUUACAGUGCAGCUGGCUUCUGGAGUCACCAGAAAGGUUGCCUGUGGCGGGCGAGCAGGACAGAGAGGAGACUCGACCUGUACAGUGGUGCCCUCACUGGGCCCCAGCAGAACUCUGGGCAACACCACGUGGACCUGACUUCUGUCUGUAAGGGCCUCUUGCCAAAAGCUGUUUUAUUCCGGGGCUAGUUAUCAAAGACAUUCUUGCUUAUGAAAAUGCUCAACCAAGAAACAGGGAAGUCUUGAUGAGGAAGCUCAAAGUUUGGUGAGAAAACUAAAAACGUGCUCCCCAAAUUUCUCUGGGUGGCUACUGUGGAAACAGGGUGGCCCUAUGUCUCAUUCUUUGGAGAUCAGAAACCACCAUGACACAACCCCAUGACACCCCACCACCUCUGUCUGCAGGGCACAGGAGGAAGGAGCCCCCGCCCUCCAGCGCCCUCUUCUGGAGCUGCCGCACCUUUAGUUCUGGUCUUGGAGAACACCUUGCACUCUGUCCUCCUGCCUGCAGAACUGCUCUGCCGGCUGUCAAAGAAAGGGGGCAGGAGUCAGUCAGGGGGGCAGAGUGGGCUUAGGGCAGCAUUGCCCUGCAUGCAGGGGCCAGCCUGCGCCAGAUCAUGCAGCUAAGACAGCCCCUCUAGAGCUGACCCUGGGCUCUUACCAGUCCCUGAAGCCGGCAGGGGAGCCCAGGAGAGUAAGACACAGCAAGGGGCCCUGAACAGGGUUUCCAGAAUAGACAUUAACGGUACUACACUUAAGCAGCAGAAAUUGGAAGAGACUGUGACCAAACCCCAAAUCACAAACUGACAUUAUCGUGGGGAUGCAGAAAAGAAUUCACAGGCCUCUAUCGGACAAUAUAGGAGGCCUGUUUUUUUGCUUUCUUUAAAGGAAACAGUAGUAUCCACCUCUUGUUCUGCUCUCCCAAUUCCCAACAGCAAGUGACUCUUAAGUCGCCUGUCAGCGCCCCAGCAGAUGGGGCUGGGGAUGCUACUGGUCCUGGAGAUCCUUAAGUGCCCAUUAUCUGUGCUGAGCCCACAAGGAUGGCUCCCCUGCCAGCAAAGACAGCUUCAGAACUGAGAGAUCACCAUAAGCUUUACCAUAAACACUACUUACCUAUGACUGGCCACUCUACUUAGGCCAAACACAAAGUCCUGAAUUUGGAAACUGCAUACUCAAUGCCUCAGAAGCAUUUGAAAGUGAAUUUAGGAAACUAUGCAUGGAGUGUUCAUUUCUAACCUGCCCACCUGGCAGCCCAAUUUGACCUCUGAAGUCCAGACAGUCUACAUGGUGGCAGUCUUUGCUACCUCAGAUCAGUUAACCCUAAGAACUAAGGGGUAUAUUUCCAAGGCAGAUGGGACAUGAGCAUCCUUGUGAAGAGCUGCUCAGGGACGUGAAAUGCCUUGGCACACAGGUGAGAUACCCUGGAGGGUGCAGUGAUCUUAUGGGCUGUCACAUUAACAGAAGCCACCUUCAAGGAGGAAGAGGAUAGGGAUGGGGGCACAGUUCCAGCCAUGAACAAGCUGGAGCGUGGGAAGGGGCCUGGGACCUGGCCUGGCUUUCUGGGGAGUGAAGCCAGGUAGCUGGCUGCUGUCUACCAGAGUUUUGACACUGCGGAGACAUAAAAGCCACCAAAUCUUUGCUAUUGAGCCAUAGUCACUACUCAAGCCAAUACAAAUGACCCUUCCUGCUAUAGUUCAUUACAAAGGUGUACCAGACAGAAAAAUAAUCCUAAAUGUUCUAAAUAAAUUAACAAAUAACUUAUCAUUUUGACACAAAAUACCCAGCUCAAAGAACUACCCUCCACUGUGAAAACCAGAGCGUGAAUGAAAUUCCCUGAGCAACUGAGCAGGACCUAAGUAGUUGGAAGCGAACUUCAAUCCCCACCACUGUCCUGCCACAGGGGCAGUCCACACAGCACUGCUCUUGAGGGGACACAGGCCACCAGGGCCCCAAGGGAGGCACUCAGGGCAGGAUCUGAGUCCUGCACCAGCAUCUGUCUCCAGAGCCCUCCUGGACUCACAGCUGCCAUCCAAGAACAUAAUGGAGUGGGUGUGCCUUGUGCUUUCCCUAUGGGGGAGCGGAGCCCCGGCCGCAAUGCCAUGUCAGAAGGUGCCCUGCAGCCCGGAGCACCUAACAGUUCACAUACAGCUGAACUGAGGAGCCUGCCCUUGACCUCCAGACCCACCUUCCUGACCACAAAACAAAGCCCCCCACCAACAGACAGACAGAACCUUCUUUUCCCUGUUGGGGAAAAGAAAACCACAAGCUAUGCACAUCUGACAUGUAAGUCUUAGCUGAUGUGGCAAGAGGCCCUUCUGAAAGCUGCAGCUAGUGUCCUUGGCCACAGCACAUCUGAACUGUCCAGGCUCUGGAACAUGUGGAGAGUUUAGUGCACAAUUGCAAUCAGAGUUCUACAAACUGCUUCUUUGAAAAACGAUGUUUAUUAAACAAUUUUAAUUGUCAUAAAAUGACUAAAAUGGGUUUUAAAAAUUAAGGCUCUUCUCUUUCUGUGGAUUGCCAGACAAUGUAAAAAUAAUAUCAAUCAACCCUGAUGAACGCUUUGUUCCUAAGUUAAAUUUCAUAGAUUCCUAAACAUUUUAUGAUUUAAGAUUAAAAAGUUGGGCUAUAAAUGAUAA